UACAGAGGUGGCAAGCGUUGCUCGGUAUCACUGGGCUUAAAGGGCGCGUAGGCGGCCUUCUAAGUCAGACGUGAAAUCCCCCGGCUUAACCUGGGAACUGCGUCUGAUACUGGGAGGCUUGAGUAUGGGAGAGGGAUGUAGAAUUCCAGGUGUAGCGGUGAAAUGCGUAGAUAUCUGGAGGAAUACCGGUGGCGAAGGCGGCAUCCUGGACCAUAACUGACGCUGAGGCGCGAAAGCUAGGGGAGCAAACGGG
rnacentral:rRNA from 1 species